AUUGAACGCUGGCGGCAGGCCUAACACAUGCGAGUCGAGCGGAUGAAGGGAGCUUGCUCCUGGAUUCAGCGGCGGACGGGUGAGUAAUGCCUAGGAAUCUGCCUGGCAGUGGGGGCUAACGUCCGGACACGGGCGCUAAUACCGCAUACGUCCUGAGGGAGAAAGUGGGGGAUCUUUGGACCUCACGCUAUCAGCUGAGCCUAGGUCGGAUUAGCUAGUUGGUGAGGUAAAGGCCUACCAAGGCGACGAUCCGUAACUGGGCUGGGAGGAUGAUCAGGCACACUGGAACUUGAACAAGGUCCAGAACCCUAAGGGAGGCAGCAGUGGGGAAUUUUGGAGCAUGGGCGGAAGCCUGAUCGAGCCAAGGCGGGUGUGUGAAGAAGGGCUUCGGAUUGUAAAACCCUUUAAGUUGGGAGGAAACAAAGUUGGAUGAAACUUUGCUGUUUUGACGGUACCAACAGAAGAAGCCCACGCUAACUUCGUG
rnacentral:rRNA from 1 species